AGACCAUGGGAGAAUUAGGAUCAGG
rnacentral:misc_RNA from 1 species